UGUCCCGCCAGGGGCACCGCUGGGUAGCUAUGUGCGGAAGGGAUAAGCGCUGAAAGCAUCUAAGCGUGAAGCCCCCCUCAAGAUGAGAUUUCCCAUCGCGUCAAGCGAGUAAGAUCCCUCGAAGAUGACGAGGUCGAUAGGUCCGAGGUGGAAGCGUGGCGACACGUGGAGCUGACGGAUACUAAUCGAUCGAGGGCUUAACCAC
rnacentral:rRNA from 1 species